rnacentral:rRNA from 1 species
UACGGGGGGAGCAAGCGUUGUUCGGAUUUACUGGGCGUAAAGGGCGCGUAGGCGGCCACUGCAAGUCGGUUGUGAAAUCUCCGGGCUUAACCCGGAAAGGUCAAUCGAUACUGCAGGGCUAGAGUGCAGAAGGGGCAACUGGAAUUCUCGGUGUAGCGGUGAAAUGCGUAGAUAUCGAGAGGAACACCUGCGGCGAAGGCGGGUUGCUGGGCUGACACUGACGCUGAAGAGCGAAAGCGUGGGGAGCAAACAGG